GUGCGAACGGAAGAGGUUGAUUUUGUGCGUUGGAGAAAGAAAAACGGCUGCGUUGUUCAAAUUUAUAUUAUCUUUGUGCAACUGCACUAGAAUACCAAAGGAGAACUGCUCUUCUUCUCAACUGCUCUGCAAAAGGGCCCAAAUUUGUAGGUUACCUGUGCUUGCCCGCAAGUCCGGCGAGAAUUGUCAUUGGGUGUUGAAGUCAGAGUUGUACUAGGGUGACCGAUCUUUUAGCAAUACUUACCCUAAAAAUCAACGGUGUGUUAUUCGCUGAAAAGAAGCCCGAAAACUCGUCCCAACA